AGAAAACUAAUAUUUAUGUAAUUAUGAUCAUUAAAUAAAUAAUUAUGAAUAAAUUGCUUCAAUAAUCAAAUAAUUAAAAUACUUCUGACUAGUUUGUAGGUCGAAGGUAAUUAUGGAAUCUUUUUAUUGUGUUUUUGCAUCUUCUUGGGGUGUUUACGAAUCUUUUCUUGGUCAUUUAGUGUCUUUUUGAUCAGGAUUUUAUGACUUUCUAUUGUGAUUUUCAUCUUUUUCUGGUAUUUUUUCAUCUCCUUGUGGUGAUUUAGAGUUCUGUAGUUGAACUGAACCAUCAGAUAUUUUCAGCUGCUAACAGAAAGUGAAACGCCGAACGGCUGGACUGGUUUUCUUUGUGGACUGGAACAGGUAGGAUGGUUAUAUAACACAUAGCAGCAGUUUAUCAGAUACACGCCUGUUUCUGCUCUUCGUCUGCAGAGAUUCAAUCCAAAAGACAAUCUGCAGCAAAUACAACAAAUAUGGAAACGUUCCCUUUUAUUGUUCUCAAUAGUUUUCAAUUUAACGCACAAAACAAGCACUGAAAGGCACAAAACCACCAGUAAAAGGCACAAAACCACCAAUAAAGGCACAAAACCACCAGUAAAAGGCACAAAACCACCAGUAAAAGGUACAAAACCACCAGUAAAGGCAAAAAACCACCAGUAAAAGGCACAAAACCACCAGUAAAAGGCACAAAAUCACCACUAAAAGGCACAAAACCACCACUAAAAGGCACAAAACCACCAGUAAAAGGCACAAAACCACCAGUAAAAGGUACAAAACCACCAGUAAAAGGCACAAAACCACCACUGAAAUGCACAAAACCACCAGUAAAAGAAACAAAACUACCAGUAAAAGGCACAAAACCACCAGUAAAAGGCACAAAACCACCAGUGAAAUGCACAAAACCACCAGUAAAAGAAACAAAACUACCACUAAAAGGUACAAAACUACCAGUAAAAGGCACAAAACCACCAGUAAAAGGCACAAAACCACCAGUAAAAGGCACAAAAUCACCACUAAAAGAAACAAAACUACCAGUAAAAGGUACAAAACCACCACUAAAAGGCACAAAAUCACCACUAAAAGAAACAAAACUACCAGUAAAAGGUACAAAACCACCACUAAAAGGUACAAAACCACCAGUAAAAGUCACAAAACCAC
ensembl:lncRNA